CUCAUGGUAAUCUGACUUGUUUGCGCUUGUCUGGUUAUCUUUAACUGCAUGCACAGAACUUAACCAUGUGUCUGUGCUAUUUUGCAGACUGGAGGAGCCUGAGAUAAGCACAGCAUCUUCAGUUUCUUGGAACUAAAGACCGCCUCCAUCCGUGCUGGUAAAGAACAACGCCGACGUGGCACCUUUUAAGGCCUGCAGACUGAAGAUUAUUGUGAAGGAGUGUCAAACAGGUGCUUCACUGAUUUCAUACGUAUUUCUGUUUGGUUACUACAGCUAAAACAGUGGGGUCCGGACUACUUGAAUCACAUCCGUGUUAACAGUUUUGCAAUCAGGUGGGGAAAAUGUGUCAAUUCAGUGAGAAAUUGUUGACAUAUUUGCUCUGCUGAGAUAGUGAUGUUAAAAACUGAGUGGAUCCCAGUUUCUUUAGGCAGGUCAAGGCAAUCAAGAAAAACUGUAAUAUUUUAGAAUAAGAUUGAGUUGCACGAUAAUUUAAUCCACUUCACUUACCCCAGUAUUCUCAAGCAUCUGCAUUUAGUAACAGAGUUUCUGUACACUGUGGACACAAACUUAAGGAGUGUAAAACUACUUUAUGUCAAAUUUUAGUGGGACUGUAAGAAGUUCUGCAUUUGCAGGAGCAAAAUGUGACAGUUGGCUGUGUACUGAAUUGUUCUUUGUGUGUGUGUGUGUGUGUGUGUGUGUGUGUGUGUGUGCGUGUGUGUGUGUGUGUUCGUUCAUGUUAGAUAAGCAAAGCUGUGACAAAGUGAGUGAACUGUGUAGCUGGGUCAUUGAUCGUCACGGUGAUAGCACAGACAGGAGUGUGCAGAGCAUUACUGCACGCUGCUAUCUGUUUUGAUCUAAUUUUUGAAUUUUCAACUUGACUUGUACGGCCGUGUUAUCUUUUACUAUAAUCUUUCUACAAAACAAGAGUAAUGAUUGAUGUCUAAAUUUUAAUACCAGUAAUUUAAUUUACAAAACGUAAUAAAUUUACUUUUAAUUUAACUUUUGUCUGUCUAAAGUAAAGCAACUAUAUCAACACAGCUUUAAUUGAGAAUUUCAAAUAAUGAAAAUGUGUUUGCGUAUUCAUCUAAAAUAUUUAUCCAUCCAUCCAUCUUCUCCCAUUUAUCCAGGGCCGGGUUGCGGGGGCAGCAGCCCAAGCAGAGAACCCUAGACCUCCCUCUCCCCAG